rnacentral:rRNA from 1 species
AUACAGGGGUGGCAAGCGUUGUCCGGAAUUACUGGGUGUAAAGGGUGCGUAGGCGGGUGGAUAAGUCAGUGGUAAAAUCCUACAGCUUAACUGUAGACCCACCAUUGAUACUGUUCAUCUUGAGUACAAGAAAGAAGAUUGGAAUUCCCAGUGUAGCGGUGAAAUGCGUAGAGAUUGGGAAGAACACCAGUAGCGAAGGCGGAUCUUUGGCUUGUUACUGACGCUGAUGCACGAAAGCGCGGGGAGCAAACAGGAUUAGAUACCCUGGUAGUCCGCGCCCUAAACGAUGAGGACUAGGUGUCGGGCCGCAAGGUUCGGUGCCGCAGCUAACGCAUUAAGUCCUCCACCUGGGGAAUACGGCCGCAAGGUUGAA